AUUUAAUAGCUGAAGAUCUACCUUUUGGGCUGAGGGGUUACUAAUCCAUCCCUGCAUAUUACAGUAGAUUCGACUAGAUUACCUAACUCCCCUGGCAUGCUGUCUCAUGUAUAUCCUUUACUGUGUCUAUGUAUCUACUCAUAAUUUAUUCUCUGCUCUCUGUAAACCUAUUUCCUCUCUCUCCUCCAUAACUCAGAAGGAUCCCAUCUGUGAAUUCCUUGCCAUUUAAAGCCAUAUUGUCUCUAUGAUCCCGGUGAGAGUUUCUGAAAUGCUGGAGGUUUGAAGCGCUGUAUACAUAAGUGUAAUGCUGAAAGUAUGCAUGUUAGUUUCAGGAAAGCAGUGUGUUCGUAGAUGAGAGCCAUCCUUAACUAUUCGGAUUUCAGUGGAAUGAACUUAACUCUACAUCUAGUGUCGGUGUAUAUAAGGGCGCUUACAGAAGUAUAAAGAAAUCUCACUAUUUUUAACUCUAAAAAUGCUGUUUCUC